UACGGGAGGCAGCAGUGGGGAAUAUUGCACAAUGGGCGCAAGCCUGAUGCAGCCAUGCCGCGUGUAUGAAGAAGGCCUUCGGGUUGUAAAGUACUUUCAGUCGUGAGGAAGGUGUUAAGGUUAAUAACCUUAGCAAUUGACGUUAGCGACAGAAGAAGCACCGGCUAACUCCGUGCCAGCAGCCGCGGUAAUCGGAGGGUGCGAGCGUUAAUCGGAAUUACUGGGCGUAAAGGGCACGCAGGCGGUUAAUUAAGUUGGAUGUGAAAUCCCCGGGCUUAACCUGGGAAUGGCAUUCAAGACUGGUUAGCUAGAGUCUUGUAGAGGGGGUAGAAUUCCAUGUGUAGCGGUGAAAUGCGUAGAGAUGUGGAGGAAUACCGGUGGCGAAGGCGGCCCCUGGACAAAGGACUGACGCUCAUGUGCGAAAGCGUGGGGAGCAAACAGGGAUUAGAUACC
rnacentral:rRNA from 1 species